UGAGGAAUAUUGCGCAAUGGGGGAAACCCUGACGCAGCAACGCCGCGUGAGUGAGGAAGGUUUUCGGACCGUAAAGCUCUGUCGAGCGGGAAGAAGUGCAUAUUGGCUAAUAUCCAUUAUGUUUGACGGUACCGCUAAAGGAAGCACCGGCUAACUCCGUGCCAGCAGCCGCGGUAAUACGGGGGGUGCAAGCGUUGUUCGGAAUCAUUGGGCGUAAAGAGCGUGUAGGCGGCUGGAUAAGUCAGAUGUGAAAGCCCUGGGCUUAACCUAGGAAGUGCAUUUGAAACUGUUCAGCUUGAGUAAGGGAGAGGAAAGUGGAAUUCCUGGUGUAGAGGUGAAAUUCGUAGAUAUCAGGAGGAACACCGGUGGCGAAGGCGACUUUCUGGCCCUAUACUGACGC
rnacentral:rRNA from 1 species